UCUGUUUUCAAUGUGAGAGAGACUCCUGACCACUCUCACAGGGGUGGUUCUUGGGGCUGGCAGCUUGCGGGGGGCGGGAACCCUAUGUCCCCAUGCGCCCUGUACGGCAACCAGGAUGGUCAGAAAUGAGAACAUGUGGGGUUGAAGAGGGCAAGCACUGAUCUGCGUUGGAGUCAAGGCCUUGUGACCAGGAUCAGAAGGAAGGACGAGGACAGGGCGGGAGCUAGAGGAUACGGAGAGCCCCAAACCUCUGCUGGAUGCCAGGAAGGAGACUGGCUUUCCAGACCAUCUCCCCUCGAUGCCUGUCCUGUCCUCGACGCCUGUCCUGUCUGGCCUCAGCGCUCCCAGCUGCAACGGCCCUCGGAAGUCCUUCCUGCUGUCCACCCAGCUUCUGAGCUUCAUUGUCAGCCCGCGUUGUCCCUCACAAGUGACCAGUUCUUCCCUAUGUGGACCAACCCCCGGCUGCUGGGGCUCCUCCCCAUCGGAACACCUGCUCACCUGUCCUCAUACCUGAGCUCAGGAUGGCUCCUGCCCCCUCAGAGACCCGGGGCCGCCUCUGCUCCCAUGUGUCCUCAUGGGUCCAGGUGGGCCCAGGGCCCGUGGCCAGGACAGAGGUCUACAAUGCUGCGGGCAGUGACCUCUUGCUGGCCUGGCACACAGUGAGAGAGAGGCCGAGACACAGGCAGAGGGAGAAGCAGGCUCCAUGC